rnacentral:rRNA from 1 species
ACUCCUACGGGAGGCAGCAGUGGGGAAUAUUGCUCAAUGGGCGCAAGCCUGAAGCAGUGACGCCGCGUGAGGGAUGAAGGCCUUCGGGUUGUAAACCUCUUUCAGCUCCGAAGAAGCGAAAGUGACGGUAGGAGCAAAAGAAGCACCGGCUAACUACGUGCCAGCAGCCGCGGUAAUACGUAGGGUGCAAGCGUUGUCCGGAUUUAUUGGGCGUAAAGAGCUCGUAGGCGGUCUGUCGCGUCUGCUGUGAAAACUCGGGGCUUAACCCCGGGCCUGCAGUGGGUACGGGCAGACUAGAGUGCGGUAGGGGAGACUGGAAUUCCUGGUGUAGCGGUGAAAUGCGCAGAUAUCAGGAGGAACACCGGUGGCGAAGGCGGGUCUCUGGGCCGUACCUGACGCUGAGGAGCGAAAGCAUGGGUAGCGAACAGGAUUAGAUACCCUGGUAGUCCAUGCCGUAAACGUUGGGCGCUAGGUGUGGGGCUCAUUCCACGAGUUCCGUGCCGCAGCAAACGCAUUAAGCGCCCCGCCUGGGGAGUACGGCCGCAAGGCUAAAACUCAAAGGAAUUGACGGGGCCCCGCACAAGCGGCGGAGCAUGCGGAUUAAUUCGAUGCAACGCGAGGAACCUUACC